GACGAACGCUGGCGGCGUGCUUAACACAUGCAAGUCGAACGGUGAACCACUUCGGUGGGGAUCAGUGGCGAACGGGUGAGUAACACGUGGGCAACCUGCCCUUAGCUCUGGGAUAACCCCGGGAAACCGGGGCGUAAUACCGGAUACGACCUCGAGCGGCAUCACUCGAGGUGGAAAGAACUUCGGCUAAGGAUGGGCCCGCGGCCUAUCAGCUUGUUGGUGGGGUAAUGGCCUACCAAGGCGACGACGGGAGCCGGCCUGAGAGGGCGACCGGCCACGCUGGGACUGAGACACGGCCCAGACUCCUACGGGAGGCAGCAGUGGGGAAUAUUGCGCAAUGGGCGAAAGCCUGACGCAGCGACGCCGCGUGAGGGAUGACGGCC
rnacentral:rRNA from 1 species